rnacentral:antisense_RNA from 1 species
AAAAAAGUAAGAAGUACCCAACAUUAUACUGAACUCCUACCAAGGAAAAGCUACAGGUGAUGGGAAGUAGGAACUAAAAGGAAAUCUAUAUUGGGAAAGAGAGCAGCAGAUAGGGCAUUACUAAUCAUGACAAGCUAAUAACUUCCCUGCACAUAGGGAAAGGAAACAGCAGCUCUGAGAACAUGGAGACAGAAAAUGGAAAUCAUGCUUUCUCUAUGUUUAUCUCUAAAAGUUUCAUUUGAAUACACAGGCUAUGACAGACGGAGGAGGAAGAAAGCAGGGGUGUCCGGGAGGUACUUCCAGAAUGAUUUGCUCUUAUUCUUUACCUUAAUCUUGAAGGAAUUCAAGAAGAUAUCCAUGUUUUUAAAAUCUAAGAUAACUACUGCUCUUUUCAUUCUAACAUGUGAGUGUACGUUUUAAUAUCAUGUGAAUGCAUAAUAGUGAAUAAAGCUAAUGAAC